rnacentral:rRNA from 1 species
AUGCGGGUUCUGGACCUCGGGGUUUAUGACGCAGUGCUUGGCGUCGAUUGGCUAGCGCAGCACAGCCCAAUGAAGUGUGACUGGAAACAGAAAACAGUGCAGUUUGAACGAGAGGGACAAACAGUGCACCUGACCGGCGUCCGAUCGGACGAGCCACCAACACUAACUGCCCUCAAUGCAGCGACUCUCUGGCAGAUGCAUGACGCUAAUGAGAUUUUGGGUGCUGCCCUCUUGGAAAUUCAUGUGAACCCAGCUUCAGACUCUGACGGAACACAACCACCACCCAUGGCGAUUUAG